rnacentral:rRNA from 1 species
CCUACGGGAGGCAGCAGUGAGGAAUAUUGGUCAAUGGGCGCGAGCCUGAACCAGCCAAGCAGCGUGAAGGACGACGGCCCUACGGGUUGUAAACUUCUUUUAUAAAGGAAUAAAGUGACGUACGUGUGCGUUUUUGUAUGUACUUUAUGAAUAAGGAUCGGCUAACUCCGUGCCAGCAGCCGCGGUAAUACGGAGGAUCCGAGCGUUAUCCGGAUUUAUUGGGUUUAAAGGGAGCGUAGAUGGGUUGUUAAGUCAGUGGUGAAAGACUGCGGCUCAACAGUAAAACUGCCACUAAUACUGGCAGUCUAGAGAACAGAUGAGGCAGGCGGAAUUCGUAGUGUAGCGGUGAAAUGCAUAGAUAUCACGAAGAACACCGAUUGCGAAGGCAGCUUGCUAGGCUGGCACUGACACUGAUGCUCGAAAGUGUGGGUAUCAAACAGGAUUAGAUACCCGAGUAGUC